UCCUUUGGGCUCAACUAUUCCUUUAUUGGCGUCCUAAAAACGCUGCCUAAUCCGUAAUAUAAACUCUGAAACUGGAGUGGGUCAUGAGACAAAAAAAAAAGAAAAAAAAGGGGGCUUUUGUAGGGAGGCGUAGCAGUCUAAAAUAUAGAAGCAACUAGGGCUUUGUAACCAAUGUAUCUGGCACGGAGUUGAGUUGUUGUACGUCGCACUUGAGCCUGACCUUGGGCAACAUCGCAAUGGAAGACGGUGACAUUUUGAAUGGAGCGGAGGGAGGAA
rnacentral:lncRNA from 1 species